AUACGUAGGGGGCGAGCGUUGUCCGGAAUGAUUGGGCGUAAAGGGCGCGUAGGCGGCCCGGUAAGUCUGGAGUGAAAGUCCUGUUUUUAAGAUAGGAAUUGCUUUGGAUACUGUCGGGCUUGAGUGCAGGAGAGGUAAGUGGAAUUCCCAGUGUAGCGGUGAAAUGCGUAGAGAUUGGGAGGAACACCAGUGGCGAAGGCGACUUACUGGACUGUAACUGACGCUGAGGCGCGAAAGUGUGGGGAGCAAACAGGAUUAGAUACCCUGGUAGUCCACACUGUAAACGAUGAAUGCUAGGUGUAGGGGGUAUCGACCCCUUCUGUGCCGCAGUCAACACAAUAAGCAUUCCGCCUGGGGAGUACGGCCGCAAGGUUGAAACUCAAAUGAAUUGACGGGG
rnacentral:rRNA from 1 species